GAUGAACGCUGGCGGCGUGCCUAAUACAUGCAAGUCGAGCGAACAGACCAGGAGCUUGCUCCUCUGACGUUAGCGGCGGACGGGUGAGUAACACGUGGAUAACCUACCUAUAAGACUGGGAUAACUUCGGGAAACCGGAGCUAAUACCGGAUAAUAUAUUGAACCGCAUGGUUCAAUAGUGAAAGACGGUUUUGCUGUCACUUAUAGAUGGAUCCGCGCCGCAUUAGCUAGUUGGUAAGGUAACGGCUUACCAAGGCAACGAUGCGUAGCCGACCUGAGAGGGUGAUCGGCCACACGGGAACUGAGACACGGUCCAGACUCCUACGGGAGGCAGCAGUAGGGAAUCUUCCGCAAUGGGCGAAAGCCUGACGGAGCAACGCCGCGUGAGUGAUGAAGGUCUUCGGAUCGUAAAACUCUGUUAUUAGGGAAGAACAAAUGUGUAAGUAACUAUGCACGUCUUGACGGUACCUAAUCAGAAAGCCACGGCUAACUACGUG
rnacentral:rRNA from 1 species